GUGUCUUUCCUGUGGUCACACGUCAGCGUCAUUAAAACAGUCCAGAGACUUGGAUUCUGUGCCUGGAGAACCUGAUUCAGUAGAUUUCAGCAGGAUCAGAGUGACUAUGUUUAAACAAAACAAAACAGAAAAUCUCCUCUAGUCAUGUUGAAGGGUAGCCUAGAUUAGGAAUGACUGGGCUGUGUGUGCAGAUCACUGAGAGUAUGAAGAAGUGAGACAUCCACUCGUCCUCAAAAUUGUUUAAUCUCUGAAAGAGUUCAGAGUCUACUCUUUAAAAUAGGUUCUACUGUGCCAGGAAUACAGUGACAACAGGUUGAUUGAUUCAACUGUGUCAGAAUAAAUUGUCAAAGAUCUCAGAUGGGCAGAAGAGAUUCCUGAGUGUCUGUUCAGUGACGUGGUACACAUUCUGUGUAGAUAAAGUAUUGUAAAUACGGCUUGCCUCCUGGCACGAGCAUACGAUGGAUAAUAUUUUUGGAAAAUAAUUUUGAAAUGUGUAUUAAAGACGUGAAAGUGCACACAAGUGAGAAGUCAACUUCUAGGAACCAGUUCUGAGGAAAUCAUCCUAAGUAUAUUUUAAAAACUCUACGUGGCUAAAUGUGCUUAUAAUUGUGAAAAAAUGUAGAUCUCUGACAAGAAAUAUGAAGUCACAUUAACUAUGCUCAUAUUACAAUUAUAUUAACACAAGCAAGGCAACAAAAUGAAA